rnacentral:rRNA from 1 species
GACGAACGCUGGCGGCGUGCUUAACACAUGCAAGUCGAACGGAAAGGCCCCUUCGGGGGUACGCGAGUGGCGAACAGGUGAGUAACACGCGAGUAACCUGCCUUUCACUUCGGGAUAACUUCAGGAAACUGGGGCUAAUACCGGACAGGAAGCAUUUCUGCAUGGUGGGGGUGGGAAAGAUUCGGCGGUUUGGGAUGGACGCGCGGCUUACCAGCUUGUUGGUGGGGUAGGGGGUUACCAAGGCUUUGACGGGUAGCCGGCCUGAGAGGGCGACCGGCCACAUUGGGACUGAGAUACGGCCCAGACUCCUACGGGAGGCAGCAGUGGGGAAUAUUGCACAAUGGGCGGAAGCCUGAGGCAGCAACGCCGCGUGCGGGAUGACGGCCUCGGGUUGUAAACCGCCUUCCGCAGGGGCCGAGGUUGUGGUGACGGUACCUGCAGAAGAAGCACCGGCUAACUACGUG